UACGUAGGGCGCAAGCGUUGUCCGGAAUUAUUGGGCGUAAAGAGCUCGUAGGCGGCUUGUCACGUCGGGUGUGAAAGCCCGGGGCUUAACCCCGGGUCUGCAUUCGAUACGGGCUAGCUAGAGUGUGGUAGGGGAGAUCGGAAUUCCUGGUGUAGCGGUGAAAUGCGCAGAUAUCAGGAGGAACACCGGCGGCGAAGGCGGAUCUCUGGGCCAUUACUGACGCUGAGGAGCGAAAGCGUGGGGAGCGAACAGG
rnacentral:rRNA from 1 species